rnacentral:rRNA from 1 species
AACGAACGCUGGCGGCAUGCCUAACACAUGCAAGUCGAACGAGACCUUCGGGUCUAGUGGCGCACGGGUGCGUAACGCGUGGGAACCUGCCCUUAGGUUCGGAAUAACUCCCCGAAAGGGGUGCUAAUACCGGAUAAUGUCUUCGAACCAAAGAUUUAUCGCCUUUGGAUGGGCCCGCGUUGGAUUAGCUAGUUGGUAGGGUAAAAGCCUACCAAGGCGACGAUCCAUAGCUGGUCAGAGAGGAUGAUCAGCCACACUGGGACUGAGACACGGCCCAGACUCCUACGGGAGGCAGCAGUGGGGAAUAUUGGACAAUGGGGGAAAGCCUGAUCCAGCAAUGCCGCGUGAGUGAUGAAGGCCUUAGGGUUGUAAAGCUCUUUUACCCGGGAUGAUAAUGACAGUACCGGGAGAAUAAGCGCCGGCUAACUCCGUG